AGUGGCGUGAUCUUGGCUCACUGCAUCCUCCGCCUCCCGAUUCAAGUGAUUCUCCUGCCUCAGCCUCCUAAGUAGCUGGGAUUACAGGCAUGUGCCACCACACCCAGCUAAUUUUUGUAUUUUUAGUAGGGACAGGGUUUCACCACGUUGGUCAGGUUGGUCUUGAGCUCCUGACCUCGUGAUCUGCCCACCUUGGCCUCCCAAAGUGCUGGGAUUACAGGCGUGAGCCGCUGCGCCCGGCUAUUUUUUUUUUUUCUUGGAGUUAAUAACUGCUCUGUUUGUUCACUUAACUUGGUCUUCUAUAUAUACCUGUUUCUUCCCAAAUAGGGAGCCCAGAAUUUAAAAAACUAAUUAUUUGUUGACCACAGCAAACUAAUUAUUGUUUCCCAAUGGUAUUCUAAGUUUUCUCUUUAGUUAUCCAUACUAUUAUUAUUUCUUCUGUACUUUUUUCACUGUUACACCAGAGUGGAGGUUGCAGUGAGCUGAGUUCAUGCCACUGCACUGCAACCUGUGCGACAAGAGUGAGCUCUGUCUCCAAAAAAAAAAAAAAAAAAAAAAAAAAAAAGUUCAAAUGGUCAUAUUUGUAGUCUGUUUUUAAAAUCAAGUAAUGGAAUAAAUAGGUUUUUAGAGAUAAUGGGUUGGAGGCAAUUUGGAAGGUUUAUUUAGGUUGUCAGAAGACUAGUGUUGAGGGUGAUGGUUUGUGGGGAUUUAAAAAAUCCUCAGACUAUUUGAAAUUAGGGUAGUAACAAGUCCCAGGAUAUAUGUAUGAGUUUAACAUCUAUGUAGAGAUUAAAAUGUAGAAGCAUGUCUAAUCAACUUUUUUUGGCUGUAUAAUGUCCUAUAACUUAGCUGUUAACUGCUUAACUCACUGCUGAGUACAUAUUGAACGUGCAAUAUAUAUUUUAUUUUUGG
rnacentral:sRNA from 1 species